rnacentral:rRNA from 1 species
CCUACGGGAGGCAGCAGUGGGGAAUAUUGCACAAUGGGGGAAACCCUGAUGCAGCGACGCCGCGUGAGUGAAGAAGUAUUUCGUUAUGUAAAGCUCUAUCAGCAGGGAAGAAAAUGACGGUACCUGACUAAGAAGCCCCGGCUAACUACGUGCCAGCAGCCGCGGUAAUACGUAGGGGGCAAGCGUUAUCCGGAUUUACUGGGUGUAAAGGGGGCGCAGGCGGGUAUGCAAGUCAGGAGUGAAAGCCCGGGGCUCAACCCCGGGACUGCUCUUGAAACUGCAGGGCUGGAUUGCAGGAGGGGCAAGUGGAAUUCCUAGUGUAGCGGUGAAAUGCGUAGAUAUUAGGAGGAACACCAGUGGCGAAGGCGGCUUGCUGGACUGUAACUGACGUUGAGGCUCGAAAGCGUGGGGAGCAAACAGGAUUAGAUACCCCAGUAGUC